AUACGUAGGUGGCAAGCGUUGUCCGGAUUUAUUGGGCGUAAAGCGAGCGCAGGCGGUUUCUUAAGUCUGAUGUGAAAGCCCCCGGCCCAACCGGGGAGGGUCAUUGGAAACUGGGAGACUUGAGUGCAGAAGAGGAGAGUGGAAUUCCAUGUGUAGCGGUGAAAUGCGUAGAUAUAUGGAGGAACACCAGUGGCGAAGGCGACUCUCUGGUCUGUAACUGACGCUGAGGCUCGAAGGCGUGGGGAGCAAACAGGAUUAGAUACCCUGGUAGUCCACGCCGUAAACGAUGAGUGCUAAGUGUUGGAGGGUUUCCGCCCUUCAGUGCUGCAGCUAACGCAUUAAGCACUCCGCCUGGGGAGUACGACCGCAAGGUUGAAACUCAAAUGAAUUGACGGGG
rnacentral:rRNA from 1 species